rnacentral:rRNA from 1 species
ACCCGCUGAACUUAAGCAUAUCAAUAAGCGGAGGAAAAGAAACCAACAGGGAUUGCCCUAGUAACGGCGAGUGAAGCGGCAACAGCUCAAAUUUGAAAUCUGGCUCUUUUAGAGUCCGAGUUGUAAUUUGCAGAGGGCGCUUUGGCUUUGGCAGCGGUCCAAGUUCCUUGGAACAGGACGUCACAGAGGGUGAGAAUCCCGUACGUGGUCGCUGGCUAUUGCCGUGUAAAGCCCUUUCGACGAGUCGAGUUGUUUGGGAAUGCAGCUCUAAAUGGGAGGUACAUUUCUUCUAAAGCUAAAUAUUGGCCAGAGACCGAUAGCGCACAAGUAGAGUGAUCGAAAGAUGAAAAGCACUUUGGAAAGAGAGUCAAACAGCACGUGAAAUUGUUGAAAGGGAAGCGCUUGCAGCCAGACUUGCUUACAGUUGCUCAUCCGGGCUUUUGCCCGGUGCACUCUUCUGUAGGCAGGCCAGCAUCAGUUUGGGCGGUAGGAUAAAGGUCUCUGUCACGUACCUCUCUUCGGGGAGGCCUUAUAGGGGAGACGACAUACUACCAGCCUGGACUGAGGUCCGCGCAUCUGCUAGGAUGCUGGCGUAAUGGCUGU